GACGAACGCUGGCGGCGUGCUUAACACAUGCAAGUCGAACGGAAAGGCCCUGCCUUUGUGGGGUGCUUGAGUGGCGAACGGGUGAGUAACACGUGAGUAACCUGCCCUUGACUUUGGGAUAACUUCAGGAAACUGGGGCUAAUACCGGAUAGGAGCUCCUGCUGCAUGGUGGGGGUUGGAAAGCAUGCGCGGUUCGGGUUGGACUCGCCGCUUAUCAGCUUGUUGGUGGGGUAGUGGCUUACCAAGGCUUUGACGAGUAGCCGGCCUGAGAGGGUGACCGGCCACAUUGGGAUUGAGAUACAGACCAGACUCCUACGGGAGGCAGCAGUGGGGAUUAUUGCACAAUGGGCGGAAGUCUGAUGCAGCAACGCCGCGUGCGGGAUGACGGCCUUCGGUUUGUAAACCGCUUUCGCCUGUGACGAAGCGUGGGUGACGGUAAUGAGUAAAGAAGCACGGGCUAACUACGUG
rnacentral:rRNA from 1 species